UCUGUUCUCAGCCAAGAGAGGACUGGUCAGACCCAAACUGCUCAGAGCAUCCAACGUACCAUCAGGGUCCACCAUGAUAUCAAUCACUAAAGAUUAAAAGUUUUGGAGUAUGGAUGAGAUCUCCUGAGGUUGAGGAGUUCAACUGAGGCCAGCCUGCA